CGUAACGCGUAUGCAACCUGCCUGACACAGGGGGAUAAUCCGAAGAAAUUUGGUCUAAUACCCCAUAAUACCGAUAUAGGCAUCUAUGUUGGUUGAAAGCUUUGGUGGUGUCAGAUGGGCAUGCGUUGUAUUAGCUAGUUGGUGAGGUAACGGCUCACCAAGGCGACGAUGCAUAGCCGGCCUGAGAGGGCGGACGGCCACAUUGGGACUGAGACACGGCCCAAACUCCUACGGGAGGCAGCAUG
rnacentral:rRNA from 1 species